GUGCGUAGCGUGACUGAGUCUGUUGUGAAAUCCCCGGGCUCACCUGGGAAUGGCAUGGAUACUGAGUCGCUAGAGUGUGAUAGAGAUGGUGGAAUUCCCGGUGUAGCGUGAAAUGCGUAGAGAUCGGGAGGAACAUCAGUGGCGAAGGCGCCCAUCUGGAUCAACACUGACGCUGAGGCACGAAAGCGUGGAGAGCAAACAGGAUUAGAUACCCUGGUAGUCCACGCCCUAAACGAUGCGAACUGGAUGUUGGUCUCAACUCGGAGAUCAGUGUCGAAGCUAACGCGUUAAGUUCGCCGCCUGGGGAGUACGGUCGCAAGACUGAAACUCAAAGGAAUUGACGGGGGCCCGCACAAGCGGUGGAGUAUGUGGUUUAAUUCGAUGCAACGCGAAGAACCUUACCUGGCCUUGACAUGUCUGGAAUCCUGCAGAGAUGCGGGAGUGCCUUCGGGAAUCAGAACACAGGUGCUGCAUGGCUGUCGUCAGCUCGUGUCGUGAGAUGUUGGGUUAAGUCCCGCAACGAGCGCAACCCUUGUCCUUAGUU
rnacentral:rRNA from 1 species